CUGAGGUAGGCGGGAGCUUGGAUUAGUGAUUAGACUCUAUCAGGUCCAUUGUGGGGUGGAGGAGAAGGUAUACAGCUCGUUGACGGUCCGGGGAAGCUCAGGGCAAUAGGGUUUCUGUCUGUUUGACUUGUCGGGCUGGGAAUGUUCUGUGCUGAUGUUGAUGGAUCAGGCUCUGUCAUCGCCUUGCAUGUCUCAGGAGGGUGUGCUUGGUUCAUAGCUCUACGGACGAUCUGUUCUCGGCUGGCUGGACUGGGCUGAAGGAGUUCUGUCCUUAGCUUACCCUCCCUCUCAUUUUCACUUCUAGGUAGUUUGGAGAUCGCAUCCCUGGGAGCAAAAUGUCAGUUUAGGGGUGUUGCCCCCGAGCGCCUCCCCCUUCCAAUACAACUGUUGGAUUUUCAACCCCCCAGGAAAGAACUAAAAACAUUUGAGAGAACGAAUCAAAGCUCAGAAACAAGCACAUCUCUGCUCGAAUACUACAUUUACAACGGCCUCCUGUCCAAAACAGUGUGCCACAGCUCUCCCUUGCUGUGAGUCAUGUGAGUUGCAUCAGCUACUAUCCAUCACUCUUUCCCUAUUUCCACUGGGCAAAAACUGGUUGAAAUAACGAUUUGAAAACAGUAAUCAAUGACAUGGCAAAAUGUUUGUUGAUUUCACGUUGAAUUCACGUUAGUUGGCCACUCAAACAAACACGGCCGAAAUCAAAACUAGACGUUGAACUGAUCUUUCUCUAUUAACCAAUACAACUUUCAAACCAAUACAUUUUUUUGGCCAACUUCAGCAUCCCACCAACUUUUUGCCAACUUUUCUUCAUAUCUGAAAGCCUAAACUUUUAUUUCUGCCAACCGACCUAGUCGUGAUUACGGUAAAGUUCUGAUUAUGGCAAAGUAUGAAAUGUGGUUGUAAUGCUGAGGUCACUUGCCUCCGUGUAAAAACAAAAGAGUACAACUCUUGAUGGUUGCUAGGCGGUGCCCAUUACUACUAUCUUCCUGGCAGUUCUAAACUUUGUUCAGCAUCCAUAAAGAAUAAAGAUCACAAAAUGACCAAAAUAUUGGAAUAAAGUAGGCUAAUGCAAUUGAAGGCAUCAAAUUGUUGAUAGGCUACAUUUCAUUGAAGCAGUAGUCUAAAUGCAUGUGGUCAACUAUUUCAGCACCGUUUUGGGGUCUUGAUAAAUCAAUCAAUGGAUCAUUUUUAUUUUCAUUGAAUCUCCAUUUGGAUUUUCGUUAGGCUACAAUAAGGCUAUGGAAGUGUUAACUAAGUUGAGGUGAGUGCUGGGCAUUGGAUUAAAUAGAUUUCUUCUCACCUAUCUACAAGCAAUACCCCAUAAUGACAAAGUGAAAACAUGUUUUUAGACAUUUUUGCACAUUUUUGAAAAUGAUAUACAGAAAUAUCUCAUUUACAUAAGUAUUCACACCCCUGAGUCAAUCACCUGACUCUUUCUGGGUGAGUCUCUAAGAGCUUUGCACACCUGGAUUGUACAAUAUUUGCACAUUAUUCUUAAAAGGCUCUGUCAAGUUGGUUGUUGGUCAUUGCUAGACAGCCAUUUUCAAGUCUUGCCGUACAUUAUCAAUUUGAUUUAAGUGAAAACUGUAACUAGGCCACUCAGGAAAAUUCAAUGUCAUCUUGGUAAGCAACUCCAGUGUAGAUUUGACCUUGUGUUUUAGGUUAUUGUCCUGCUGAUAGGUGAAUUUGUGUCCCAUUGUCUGUUGGAAAGCAGACUGAACCAAGUUUUUUCUCUAGGAUUUUGCAUGUACUUAGCUUUAUUCCGCUUCUUUUUAUCCAAAAAACAACUCCCUAGUCCUUGCCGAUGACAAGCAUACCCAUAACAUGAUGUAGCCAUUACCAUGCUUGAAAAUAUGAAGAGUGGUAGUCAGUGAUGUGUUGUGUUGGAUUUACCCCAAACAUAAUGCUUUGUAUUCAGAACUAAAAGUGAAUUUCUUUGCACUUUUUUGCAGUUUUACUUUAGUGCUUUAUUGCAAACAGGAUGCAUGUAUUGGAAUAUUUAAAUUUUGUACAAGCUUCCUUCUUUUCACUCUGUCGUUUACAUUAGUAUUGUGGAGUAACUUUGGCAGGUAGCCUAGCAGUUAAGAGUGUUGGGCCAGUAACUGAAAGGUUGCUGGUUCAACCCCCGAGCCGACUAGGUGAAAAAUGUGUCGAUGUGCCCUUGAUCAAGCCACUUAACCCUAAUUGCUCAUGUAAGUCGCUCUGGAUAAGAGUGUCUGCUAAAUGACUAAAAUGAUUUUAUAAAUGUGUUGAUCCAUCCUCAUUUUUCUCCUCUCCUAUCACAGUCAUUAAACUCUGUACUGUUUUAAAAAGUUACCAUUGGCCUCACGGUGAAAUUCCUGAGCGGUUUCCUUCCUCUCUGGCGACUGAGUUACGAAGGACACCUGUAUGUUGUAGUGACUGUAUGUAUUGAUACACCAUCCAAAGUAUAAUUAAUAACUUCACCAUGCUCAAAGGGAUAUUCUGAGAGAUGAGAUGGCGCCGCAGGGGAUGGCUGCUGACUGAGCGGUGGUAGGCAGAAGCAGGCGCGUAAACAUUCAUUCAAACAGCACUUUCGUGCGUUUUGCCAGCAGCUCUUCGUUGUGCGUCAAGCAUUGCGCUGUUUAUGACUUCAAGCCUAUCAACUCCCGAGAUGAGGCUGGUGUAACCAAAGUGAAAUGGCUAGCUAGUAAGCGGGCGCUAAUAGCGUUUCAAACAUCACUCGCUCUGAGCCUUGGGGUGGUUGUUUCCCUUGCUCUGCAUGGGUAACGCUGCUUCGAGGGUGGCUGUUGUCGUUGUGUUCUUGGUUCGAGCCCAGGGAGGAGCGAGGAGAGGGAUGGAAGCUAUACUGUUACACUGGCAAUAUAAAAGUGCCUAUAAGAACAUCCAAUAGUCAAAGGUUAAUGAAAUACAAAUGGUAUAGAGGGAAAUAGUCCUAUAAUUCCUAUAAUAACUACAACCUAAAACUUCUUACCUGGGAACAUAUUUCAUAUGUUCUCAUGUUCUGAGCAAGGAACUGAAACGUUAGCUUUCUUACAUUACACAUAUUGCACUUUUACUUUCUUCUCCAACACUUUGUUUUUGCAUUAUUUAAACCAAAUUGAACAUGUUUCAUUAUUUAUUUGAGGCUAAAUUGAUUUUAUUGAUGUAUUAUAUUAAGUUAAAAUAAGUGUUCAUUCAGUAUUGUAGUAAUUGUCAUUAUUACAAAUACAUUUUUAAAAAUUGACCGAUUAAUCGGUAUCGGCCUUUUUUGGUCCCACAAUAAUCGGUAUUGGCGUUGAACAAUCAGAAUCGGUGGACCUCUAGUGCUGAACCUGCUGCUAGAAGGGGUACACAGCUGGAGGUUGAAUACUUGAAGGGGUACGGGUCUAUAAAAAGUUUGGGAACCACUGAUCUACACUGACUGAAGUGGAUUUAACAAGUGCCAUCAAUAAGGGAUAAUAGCUUUCACCUCGAUUCACCUGGUCAGUCUAUGUCAUGGAAAUAGCAGGUGUUCCUACCCUCAGUGUAUGUGUGUUGACUGUGAUUAGGUAGCCUAAGUGUGUCUUGUCUGUUUAAUGAACAAUAUAGCCUAACUAUUGAUUUCAUGUGCAUGGUGCAUAUAGCCUACACAGACCAGUAACAAAAUUAAACUCCAAAUAUGCCAUUUUUUUACCUCUAAAACUUUAAUUAAUAGCGAAGGAUUUUAUUUGAUGAAAUCACUGGACAGAACUUGCGCUCAUUAGAGACAGACUUCUAUUUGAGCCAGGCUUCUAUUUCCUUAAUGCGCACAGCUUUUGCUCAGUUGUAUAGUUAAUUGUUUAAUUCCAGCAUUCACUUCCAGAAAUGUAAUCAAUGUCUUAAUUUCCUGCAUUAAUAAGUUAUCAUUUAUAAACUGUUUCACGUUUGUUUUGUCUUAGUAUGAUUCAAUUUAGAAGAAAAACAGCUUUCUUGACAGAAUAAUUGUUCUCGCACAGCUUUUGCUCAGUUGUAUAGUUAAUUGUUUAAUUCUAGCACUUCCAGAAAUGUAAUCAUUUCCUAGCCACCGUGCUUCUACACCUGCAUUGCUUGCUGUUUGGGGUUUUAGGCUGGGUUUCUGUACAGCACUUUGAGAUAUCAGCUGAUGUACGAAGGGCUAUAUAAAUACAUUUGAUUUGAUUUGAUUUGAUUCUCUUUAACUCUGCAUUUUUGUCUGUUUUAACUUUCGCCACUAGAGGGCGAUCAGACGGUUUCUUGGGGUCUGUACUUCCGAAAGUUGUUGACUGUUUUUGUGGUUGCCAGUUGGCUAGCAGUAUUCAGUUAUGAGCAGCCAAUGGCUAGCAGUUUUUUACUGCCGAUAAAAACAGAUGAUUGCUGUAAUUUUUACAAGUCAAUACUUAACUAUUUUACGUACUAAAUCAAACAUUAAAGACUGUAACAAUUCAUUUAGACCGGGC
ensembl:lncRNA